AUUGAACGCUGGCGGCAGGCUUAACACAUGCAAGUCGAGCGGGGGAAGGUAGCUUGCUACCGGACCUAGCGGCGGACGGGUGAGUAAUGCUUAGGAAUCUGCCUAUUAGUGGGGGACAACAUCUCGAAAGGGAUGCUAAUACCGCAUACGUCCUACGGGAGAAAGCAGGGGAUCUUCGGACCUUGCGCUAAUAGAUGAGCCUAAGUCGGAUUAGCUAGUUGGUGGGGUAAAGGCCUACCAAGGCGACGAUCUGUAGCGGGUCUGAGAGGAUGAUCCGCCACACUGGGACUGGGACACGGCCCAGACUCCUACGGGAGGCAGCAGUGGGGAAUAUUGGACAAUGGGGGGAACCCUGAUCUAGCCAUGCCGCGUGUGUGAAGAAGGCCUUAUGGUUGUAAAGCACUUUAAGCGAGGAGGAGGCUACUUUAGUUAAUACCUAGAGAUAGUGGACGUUACUCGCAGAAUAAGCACCGGCUAACUCUGUGCCAGCCGCCGCAGUAA
rnacentral:rRNA from 1 species